ensembl:lncRNA
UGGGGGACCCCAAAGGGGGAACCCCAAAGGGAAUGUGGGGGACCCCAAAGGGAACGUGGGGGACCCCAAAGGGAGGACCCCAAAGGGAACGUGGGGGAUCCCAAAGGGACGACCCCAAAGGGACAUGGAGGACCCCAAAGGGGGAACCCCAAAGGGAAUGUGGGGGACCCCAAUGGGACGUGGAGGAUCUCAAAGAGAACGUGGGGGAUCCCAAAGGGAACGUGGAGGAUCCCAAAGGGGGGGUGAGGGACCCCAAAGGGAGGAAACCAAAGGGAGGACCCCAAAGGGAUGUGGAGGACCCCAAAGGGAGGACCCCAAAGGGACAUGGAGGACCCCGAAGGGGGAACCCCAAAGGGACAUGGAGGACCCCGAAGGGGAAAC